CAGGGAAUAUUGCACAAUGGACGGAAGUCUGAUGCAGCGACGCCGCGUGAGUGAAGAAGGCCUUCGGGUUGUAAAACUCUUUUGAGGGGGAAGAGCGAGGACGGUACCCCUGGAAUAAGCGUCGGCUAACUACGUGCCAGCAGCCGCGGUAAGACGUAGGACGCGAGCGUUAUCCGGAUUUACUGGGCGUAAAGCGUCUGUAGGCGGUCGUGUAAGUUGGGCGUGAAAGCUCCGGGCUUAACCCGGAGAGGCCGUUCAAUACUGCAUGGCUUGAGGGUGUCAGAGGGGAGCGGAAUUCCCGGUGUAGCGGUAAAAUGCGCAGAGAUCGGGAGGAACACCAGUGGCGGAGGCGGUUCCCUGGGGCACACCUGACGCUGAGAGACGAAAGCUAGGGGAGCGAACA
rnacentral:rRNA from 1 species